UUUAAACCGUCGUGAGACAGGUUGGUCCCUAUCUGCUGUGGGCGUACGAAACUUGAGGGAUUUUCUCUUUAGUACGAGAGGAUUUGGAGGGACGUACCUCUGGUGUUCCUGUUGUCUUGCUCAAGGCAGCGCAGGGUAGCUAAGUACGGUUCGGAUAAGCGCUGAAAGCAUCUAAGCGCGAAGCCAGUCCCAAGAUAAGGUUUCGACGAGUCCCCUGGAAGACCACCAGGUUGAUAGGCUGGCUGUGUAAGAUGGGCAACCAUCUCAGCUGACCAGUACUAACGGACAAACGCUUGACCAU
rnacentral:rRNA from 1 species